rnacentral:rRNA from 1 species
AUUGAACGCUGGCGGCAGGCCUAACACAUGCAAGUCGAACGAGUGGCGCACGGGUGAGUAAUGUCUGGGAAACUGCCUGAUGGAGGGGGAUAACUACUGGAAACGGUAGCUAAUACCGCAUACCAUCGGAUGUGCCCAGAUGGGAUUAGCUAGUAGGUGGGGUAACGGCACACCUAGGCGAAGAUCCCUAGCUGUUCUGAGAGGAUGACCAGCCACGCUGGAACUGAGAAACGGUCCAGACUCCAACGGGAGGCGGCGGUGGGGAAUAUUGCACAAUGGGCGCAAUCCGAAUGCAGCCAUGCCGCGUGUAUGACGAAGGCCUUCGGUUUUUAAAGUACUUUCAGCGGGGAGGCGUUACCCGCAGAAGAAGCACCGGCUAACUCCGUGCCAGCAGCCGCGGUAAUAC